GUGGGGAAUUUUGGACAAUGGGCGAAAGCCUGAUCCAGCCAUGCCGCGUGUGUGAAGAAGGUCUUCGGAUUGUAAAGCACUUUAAGUUGGGAGGAAGGGUAGUAACCUAAUACGUUGCUACUUUGACGUUACCGACAGAAUAAGCACCGGCUAACUUCGUGCCAGCAGCCGCGGUAAUACGAAGGGUGCAAGCGUUAAUCGGAAUUACUGGGCGUAAAGCGCGCGUAGGUGGUUUUGUAAGUUGGAGGUGAAAUCCCCGGGCUCAACCUGGGAACUGCCUCCAAAACUGCAUGACUAGAGUACGGUAGAGGGUAGUGGAAUUUCCUGUGUAGCGGUGAAAUGCGUAGAUAUAGGAAGGAACACCAGUGGCGAAGGCGACUACCUGGACUGAUACUGACACUGAGGUGCGAAAGCGUGGGGAGCAAACAGGAUUAGAAACCCCGGUAGUCC
rnacentral:rRNA from 1 species